UGGACAUAUUUUACAAGGAGUGGUGCAACAAUUUUAUUGGAGCGUUUGCCUAGAUGCUGAAUCACAUCUUUUACCAGGGUCUUUCAGUUUAUAGAGACCUUUCACCGGAAACAAAAUGGAUAAUGGUACGCUUCUCGUUGGCAAUUAACUUGGUACACGCAUGAAACUAUUCCUCUGUAUUUACAAGCAUAACUGAACUGCGUCCUGGUGUUUUGAGAAGCCCUUGAUUCACCAUAAGCAUCCUCAUCCUUUCAGCCUUCCCCCAACAAUCAGAAUCAACAUAUAUAUUUGAUAGCAGAACAUAAUGUGGAUUAUUGCCAGAAUCUACUCCACGAUCUUGUCUGUUAACAUCUUCCAUUACUCGUUUCACCAUAUCCAUAUCGAAAUGAACUCGACAUGCUCCAACCAAAGCACCCCAAACUGCAUCAUUUGGUUUUAUUGGCAUUCUCUUAAUGAAUCAUAAGCAUCUUGUAGUCUUCCUGCAUGCCCAAGAAGAUCAGCCACACAGCC
rnacentral:misc_RNA from 1 species